rnacentral:rRNA from 1 species
GAUGAACGCUGGCGGCGUGCCUAAUACAUGCAAGUCGAGCGAACAGACGAGGAGCUUGCUCCUCUGACGUUAGCGGCGGACGGGUGAGUAACACGUGGAUAACCUACCUAUAAGACUGGGAUAACUUCGGGAAACCGGAGCUAAUACCGGAUAAUAUAUUGAACCGCAUGGUUCAAUAGUGAAAGACGGUUUUGCUGUCACUUAUAGAUGGAUCCGCGCCGCAUUAGCUAGUUGGUAAGGUAACGGCUUACCAAGGCAACGAUGCGUAGACGACCUGAGAGAGUGAUCGGCCACACUGGAACUGAGACACGGUCCAGACUCCUACGGGAGGCAGCAGUAGGGAAUCUUCCGCAAUGGGCGAAAGCCUGACGGAGCAACGCCGCGUGAGUGAUGAAGGUCUUCGGAUCGUAAAACUCUGUUAUUAGGGAAGAACAAAUGUGUAAGUAACUAUGCACGUCUUGACGGUACCUAAUCAGAAAGCCACGGCUAACUACGUG